rnacentral:rRNA from 1 species
UACGUAGGGGGCAAGCGUUGUCCGGAAUUAUUGGGCGUAAAGAGCGCGUAGGCGGUCCGGUAAGUCAGCUGUGAAAGUCAAGGGCUCAACCCUUGAAAGCCGGUUGAUACUGUCGGGCUAGAGUCCGGAAGAGGCGAGUGGAAUUCCCGGUGUAGCGGUGAAAUGCGCAGAUAUCGGGAGGAACACCAAUGGCGAAGGCAGCUCGCUGGGACGGUACUGACGCUGAGGCGCGAAAGCAUGGGGAGCGAACAGG